AUUGAACGCUGGCGGCAGGCCUAACACAUGCAAGUCGAACGAGUGGCGGACGGGUGAGUGAUGUCUGGGAAACUGCCCGAUGGAGGGGUAUAACUACUGGAACGGGUAGCUACUGGCGCAUACCAUCGGAUGUGCCCUGAUGUGAUGAGCUACUAGGUGGGGUAAUGGCUCACCUAGGCGAAGAUCCCUAGCUGGUCUGAGAGGAUGAACAGCCACACUGGAACUGAGACACGGUCCAGACUCCUACGGGAGGCAGCAGUGGGGAAUAUUGCACAAUGGGCGCAAGCCUGAUGGAGCCAUGCCGCGUGUAUGAAGAAGGCCUUCGGGUUGUAAAGUUCUUUCAGCGAGGAGGCGUUACUCGCAGAAGAAGCACAGGCUAACUCCGUGCCAGCAGCCGCGGUAAUUC
rnacentral:rRNA from 1 species